rnacentral:rRNA from 1 species
UACGGGAGGCAGCAGUGGGGAAUAUUGGGCAAUGGGCGAAACCCUGAUCCAGCGACGCCGCGUGAGUGAAGAAGUAUUUCGGUAUGUAAAGCUCUAUCAGCAGGGAAGAUGAUGACGGUACCUGACUAAGAAGCACCGGCUAAAUACGUGCCAGCAGCCGCGGUAAU